UACGGAGGGUGCAAGCGUUAUUCGGAUUUAUUGGGCGUAAAGGGCGUGUAGGUGGUCUGAUAAGUCAGGUGUGAAAGCCCCUGGCUCAACUAGGGAAGUGCACUUGAAACUAUCAGACUUGAGUACGGGAGGGGGAAGUGGAAUUCCUGGUGUAGAGGUGAAAUUCGUAGAUAUCAGGAGGAAUACCGGUGGCGAAGGCGACUUCCUGGACCGAUACUGACACUGAGACGCGAAAGCGUGGGGAG
rnacentral:rRNA from 1 species